rnacentral:rRNA from 1 species
AGCCAAACAGCUAGCCCACCUAAUCAACACCACCAUAAACACAUAAUUACACCCUAAAACACUAUCAACCAACCAACAAAACAUUUUUCCCCUCUAGUAUGGGAGACAGAAAAAGAGCCAGGAGCUAUAGAGAAAGUACCGCAAGGGAACGCUGAAAGAGAAAUGAAACAAACCAGUAAAGCACCAAAAAGCAGAGACUUGAACUCGUACCUUUUGCAUCAUGAAUUAGCCAGUAACCUCUAAGCAAAAUGAAUUUUAGUUUAGCCCCCCGAAACUAGGUGAGCUACUCCAAGACAGCCUAACAAUAGGGCGAACCCUUCUCUGUGGCAAAAGAGUGGGAAGAGCUUCGAGUAGCGGUGAAAAGCCUAUCGAACCUAGUUAUAGCUGGUUGCCUGAGAAAUGAAUAGAAGUUCAGCCUCCUCCCUUCUUCCCCCAAUUAUGGAACCUGCCUUAACCACAGAGAAAAAGAAGAGAAGAGAGUUAGUCAAAGAAGGGACAGCUUCUUUGAAAAAAGACACAACUUUUUUAGGAGGUAAAAAAUCAAAUUAAAUCAAGGCUAUAUGUUCAGGUGGGCCUAAAAGCAGCCAUCCUAUAAGAAAGCGUUAUAGCUCGAACAUUAACAUCGCUUUUAAUACUGAUAAAUCAAUUUUACACCCCUUAAACUAACAGGCCCUUCUAUUUUAUAAUAGAAGAGAUAAUGCUAGUAUGAGUAAUAAGAGACAACGAAUCUCUCCAAGCACAAGUGUACAUCAAAACAGACCUUCUACCGAAAAUUAACGGCCCCAAACAAAGAGGGAAUUGGAAAACAAAUAGACAACUAGAAAAUCUUCCAACAAUUACCGUUAACCCCACACUGGAGUGCUAUCAUGGAAAGACUUAAAGGAGAAGAAGGAACUCGGCAAACAUGUUCCUGGUCCCGCCUGUUUACCAAAAACAUCGCCUCUUGCUAAAAAAGUAUAAGAGGUCCCGCCUGCCCUGUGACAAAAAGUUUAACGGCCGCGGUAUUUUGACCGUGCGAAGGUAGCGCAAUCACUUGUUUCUUAAAUGGAGACCUGUAUGAAUGGCAUAACGAGGACCAACCUGUCUCCUUCUCCUAGUCAAUGAAAUUGAUCUCCCCGUGCAGAAGCGGGGAUAAUAACAUAAGACGAGAAGACCCUUUGGAGCUUUAGACUAUGAACAGACCAUGCUAAUUACACCAAACAAAAGGAACUAAGCCAAUUGGACCCCUGCUCUAAUGUCUUCGGUUGGGGCGACCACGGGGAAACAAAAAACCCCCAUGAGGAACAGGAGAACUUUUCUCCCACAACUAAGACCGGCAGGUCUAAGUACCAGAAUUUCUGACCAGAAGAUCCGGCAACGCCGAUCAACGAACCAAGUUACCCUAGGGAUAACAGCGCAAUCCCCUUUUAGAGCUCAUAUCGACAAGGGGGUUUACGACCUCGAUGUUGGAUCAGGACAUCCUAAUGGUGCAGCCGCUAUUAAGGGUUCGUUUGUUCAACGAUUAAAGUCCUACGUGAUCUGAGUUCAGACCGGAGUAAUCCAGGUCAGUUUCUAUCUAUGAAAUGUUCUUUUCUAGUACGAAAGGACCGAAAAGAAGAGGCCCAUUCUGCAAGAACGCCUCCCCCUUACCUGAUGAAAACAACUAAAAUAGGCAAAAGGACAUAACCCCUUUAGCCGUAAAGAACGGCGU